GAAGGCAUAGCUCAUAGUCGUGGAGCAUAUGCUUAGCAUGCACAAGGUCCUGGGUUCAAUCCCCAGUACCACCA
rnacentral:tRNA from 1 species